UAAAAUAAUAAUAUUGUUUUCAUUAUGUUAUCUUAUUUGUAUCUCUGUAUAUAUGUGAUAUUUUAAUUGUGUAUAUAUAUUUUUAUCUUGAGUUAGCGCUAUUUCUUCUGUCUUGUCGCUGAACUGUUGUGUUUCCCUCUGGGAUUAAUAGUGAUUAAAAGUGAUCUAUGAUCUAUCUAUGUACCUAAAAUAAACGUCCCCAAAAAAUAUCAAUACAAGCUCAAGCACACAGACACACUUGGCUCUGCACCUGUCAGUAUCAGUAUGAACUGCCGACCAAUCACAGCACAGUGGGCGGGAUCUGUCUGAAUACGGGUGGGAUAAAGAGAGCGCCUGAUGAUUAGAGAUGAAUCCAGGUAAAUGGAAACUUAUUUGUGCUGGGGAAUCCUCGGCCGGGCGUGGGCGGUAGAAACUCCCCUGUUGGGUAACAUGUCUAAACCUGUUCCUCCUGGCUUAUAUAAAGCCAGACUGCGGCUGAUUCAGACCACAAGACCUAGACCGGAUCUCUGUACCUCCAGACCCCAAAAACCGCAACGGCUGCUUUCAGUAGAGCUGCUAUCACAGCUGAGCGGAGACGAGCAGAGGAGAGCAGAGCAUCAUGGACAGGCUUCAUUCAGACAGGUGCUUCAAAACCUGGAGAAGAAGAAUCAAGAGCUUCUCGACAUCAAUAAGAAAUGGGCUGAACGAUACAGAACACUGAGACAGCAUGUCAAAAGCUACGAGCUGAGGAAAGAAGAGAAGGAGAAAGACACUAAACAGACUGGACAGGAGGCUGAGCUGAGGGCCCGCCUUCAGGAUGCAGACAGAGAGAUAGCAUGGCUGAGGAUGCACUGUGACACUCUGACCAGAGGAGGGCAACAGCUAAAUGAAGAAAUCAUGAGACUGAAUACGGUCCUGCAGAAGAGCCUGGCAGUUCAACACAAGAGAAACCAGAGAGAGGAAAAUGUUUGGAAACAUCAGGCUCAGGUGUAUAAGGAGGACUUCUUUAAAGAGAGGAAGGAUAGAGAAAUGCUAAUGGCCAAAUACACAGACUUGGAGGAAAAGUUCAAGAAAGUCCAUGAUGAGUUACGUGCUUACAAAUUACAAGCUCGGUGGGCUCAGUUAGGCCCCUCGACAAGCCCCCCAGCACACACAUAACCCAUGUGAUGCAUCAGCGGAGUCCCAUUCAGCUACAGCAUAAAAAACGACUCAAAGCUGACCUUAUUAAGAGCUUACCCUAAGCUGUGCUGCUCCCUUUAUAUAUACCUUUAUUUGUCUGACUGUGUGAUGCUUAUUGUUAGUGUAUUAAGCGUGUUCUAUUAUUUAAAUGGAAUAAUUUAUCUGUAAAUAAAGUUAGUUAUAU
rnacentral:lncRNA from 1 species